UCAAGCUUGAUGAUCUCAGCUAUAGAGGCAGGGCCAUUCGAGGGGAGACCAGCACGCUGCGUGGGGGAAAAAAAAGGUGAGCAAAAACACUAUUUUUAAACACACAUAUACACCAUGACAGACACAGAAACACACAUAUACCAUGACAGAUACACACCCCAUGACAGAUACACACCCCAUGACAGACACACACACACCAUGACAGACCAUGACACAGACAGACCCACACACACACACACCAUGACACAGACAGACACACACACCAUGACGGACAGACACACACACCCCAUGACGGACAGACAGACACACACCCCAUGACGGACAGACAGACACACACCC